AUACGGAGGGUCCAAGCGUUAUCCGGAAUCAUUGGGUUUAAAGGGUUCGCAGGCGGUUUAAUAAGUCAGUGGUGAAAUCCUACAGCUCAACUGUAGAACUGCCAUUGAUACUGUUAGGCUUGAAUAUAGUUGGAGUAGGCGGAAUGUGUAGUGUAGCGGUGAAAUGCUUAGAUAUUACACAGAACACCGAUAGCGAAGGCAGCUUACUAAACUAUUAUUGACGCUCAUGAACGAAAGCGUGGGGAGCGAACAGGAUUAGAAACCCUAGUAGUCC
rnacentral:rRNA from 1 species